rnacentral:lncRNA from 1 species
AUGACGGGGACCACACAGUGUGACCGGAGUGCCGGGCUGUUUCAGGGAGGGAGCCACAGAGUCAGACAGAGGGGCCGCCCCUGCUCAGGCCCCGCCCAGACCCUGCAGCCUCCUGGGUUUAAUCCGCAUGCCAGCACCACAGGAAGCCUUGCUGUCCCCAGGUCGGGUGAGAGCAGAGGCGUGGACUUCCCCAAGGCCAAGGUGACACACGGGUCAGGGCCUCCCGACCCUGCUCCCCAAACUGUCCCAGGCUCUGCCUUUCCAGUGGAAGGUUUGCAGCAGGCAGCUGGGCCCCCCUGCGCCAGCAUUCCUCAGCUGGAGGCCUCUGGAAAGAACCUGGAUGCGCCGGCCUGUGCGAGAGCCGCGUGGGGGGAGGGUGCUGGACAGAAAGCCCCAGGUAACAGAAACGGAAACCCUGCCCGCGCGCCCUGCACCUGGUCCUUCUGCAUUGCCCAAGACGCUGAAUGGAUCGUGAGCAGCUUGGUGAGCUCGGGCGUGAGCUCGGGCGCCGGCCGAAACAGCUGGCCCAGGCCUCCGCGCUGCCUCCCCUCCCUGCCUGGGAUCCGCAAUGGCACCACCUUAAACCUGGGCCCCGGGGUCACCCCUCAUGGUGCUCUGAGCCAGCUGGGCCCCCUAUUCCUACGGGGCCUCCUUGCUGCUUCCUACAGGGGCGCCCUCUUGGCUCCAGGGAGGAGGGAGCAACGCCCUGUCCAGUCACAGGCCCCUGGAGAAUUCAAGGGAGCCCCAAGGCCACUUGUCUGGGCUGCAAGCUACAAGGCCACCAGCCCCAGAGCCCUGCCCAGUCCACAUCACUGGGGCCCUUGGGCAUGCAGGCAGCACAGGGACAAGGGCUCAGAGAGCUCCGGGCGCCAGCGCAGGGUCACGUGGCACCAGAAGAACCAGGACUCAGAGCCAGGCCCAAGUGCAAGCACUUUCCCUGAGGCCAGCGGCACGGAAAUGCAGCCGCCGUGCUCCGGGCACUCUGGGACCCGGCUUCAGCCGCCCUCUAGGCCAGGGCCCAAGCCCAGGCGCUGGGGAACCCCCAGAGCACAGGAAGCAAGGCCCCCGGUCUGA